AACGCUAGCUACAGGCUUAACACAUGCAAGUCGAGGGGCAUCAGGGUAGCAAUACCGCUGGCGACCGGCGCACGGGUGAGUAACACGUAUCCAACCUACCGUUAACUCGGGGAUAGCCUUUCGAAAGAAAGAUUAAUACCCGAUAGUAUAUUUUCUUCGCAUGUUGAAAAUAUUAAAGAAUUUCGGUUAUCGAUGGGGAUGCGUUCCAUUAGGCAGUUGGCGGGGUAACGGCCCACCAAACCUACGAUGGAUAGGGGUUCUGAGAGGAAGGUCCCCCACAUUGGAACUGAGACACGGUCCAAACUCCUACGGGAGGCAGCAGUGAGGAAUAUUGGUCAAUGGACGAAGGUCUGAACCAGCCAAGUAGCGUGAAGGAUGACUGCCCUAUGGGUUGUAAACUUCUUUUAUAUGGGAAUAAAGUUCUCCGCGUGUGGAGUUUUGUAUGUACCAUUAUGAAUAAGCAUCGGCUAACUCCGUGCCAGCAGCCGCGGUAAUACGGAGGAUGCGAGCGUUAUCCGGAUUUAUUGGGUUUAAAGGGAGCGUAGGUGGACUGGUAAGUCAGUUGUGAAAGUUUGCGGCUCAACCGUAAAAUUGCAGUUGAUACUGUCAGUCUUGAGUACAGUAGAGGUGGGCGGAAUUCGUGGUGUAGCGGUGAAAUGCUUAGAUAUCACGAAGAACUCCGAUUG
rnacentral:rRNA from 1 species